rnacentral:siRNA from 1 species
GAGAUACCUAUCCAUACGGUGCA